rnacentral:rRNA from 1 species
UCCGGGCGGUUCCCCCUUCGGGGGGACAGGGUGACAGGUGGUGCAUGGUUGUCGUCAGCUCGUGUCGUGAGAUGUUGGGUUAAGUCCCGCAACGAGCGCAACCCCCGACCUUAGUUGCCAGCAUUCAGUUGGGCACUCUAAGGUGACUGCCGGUAAUAAACCGGAGGAAGGUGGGGAUGACGUCAAAUCAUCAUGCCCCUUAUGACCUGGGCUACACACGUGCUACAAUGGUUGGUACAACGAGUUGCGAGUCGGUGACGGCGAGCUAAUCUCUUAAAGCCAAUCUCAGUUCGGAUUGUAGGCUGCAACUCGCCUACAUGAAGUCGGAAUCGCUAGUAAUCGCGGAUCAGCACGCCGCGGUGAAUACGUUCCCGGGCCUU